rnacentral:lncRNA from 1 species
GUCACGUUUGUGAUAUAUUUCAUGCCUAAUAUGAACACAUUUGAUAGGUGCACUCCCUGUUUACUACAGGUCUGGUGCCUGGUCUAGUAGCUAAUUCUGACUACUUCAAAUAAUAGUAGUUUUUCAACUUUUGCUCAGCUUCUCUUUUCAUUUUUAAUUGUCAUAGGCUUAAAUUACACCUCCCUGUUUCAUAUAUCCUAUUGAGUUACUACUCCAUGCAGCUGACCUGAGAGACCAAAAUUAGACUAGAUGCUGCGCAAACAUCAACAAAGGAAAAAAAAAAGAAAAAAAAAGAUACUUACAUAAAGAAUAAAACAAAAAUUGAGAAAGAGGAUGCCUGAAGAGAUGUAAUGCCAGCAGGCUUUUGUACAUGAGGCCUUCUCAUGGAAUGUUUUAGACAGUAAGUCUGUCUGACAGAGUUAGUCUAGAAGAGAUGACAAUAAAAGAAAAAUCAAGACAAAAAGAAGUGAACCAAUGCAGCUAGAAGGGACCACAGAAUAAGACGUGGUUGGUUUGGCUAAUCACAGGAAAUGCCCUCGUGCACUUACAUCCUCUGCCUGAGAAGCCUGUGACAAAAUAAUACAUACACUUGUAAUAUUUGUAACAGCGCAGCCUACGUUAUGUUUAGAUAAGGCAGUAGUGAUUCAGUGGUGAAGAUCUACAUGCCCCACAGCAACAACCAUUGGCUGCUGAACACAGGAGAUUGUGGAGGACCCCACCUGCAGGGCAGAGAGCUCUUUCUCAUACCUCAGCAGGCAAGAUGGGAUACAUGAACUUCUCCCUAAACAGAAUAUUACUGCCAGCUUUGUGGAUGCCAGAAAACUCAAACUUCAAAGGAUCUUCAGUUCUAUAUUCCAAUAGGGGGUCUGGAAAAGACAACUAAAUUCUGCCAGCAAAAAGGACUGCAAAGAAAGGUUAUCCGCCAUCUGAGCCUUCUUCACAACACUUUGUUGAGUCUUUUGGACAAAAAAGAAUCCAGUGCAACUAAAGGAAGAUUUUAAUACGUAUAAAAAUGCUAAUUAACUAUCUUCAUCAGGAGACAGAAUAGUUGCAAUCAGCAACUAACAGCAAUCAGUACUCAGGAACUAAUACUGAACUGGACACAUUAUAAAAGUUUUAAAACUUCUAAGUGUCAGAAGAAACCUGAUAUUAUAUCAGCAAUAUUCCUUCCAUUAUGCCUAUGUAUCAGAUACAUUAUAGGUAGAUAAUUG